AUAUGAAGGGGACAUGAAAGGAUCGCAAGGUCGACUAGAGGUAGGAGAUGAAUAUGAGACUACAAAGUUAUAUCAUAACUUCCAAUAUUAGGAUGAUGUUGAUAAAGUAAGUUAUCUAGAAAUGCAAUCUACAAUGAUAAAAACAUUUAUGAAAGCAGGCUAAUGCACUACUCCCUUCAUUCCCUUAUACAAAGCCACAAACUCAGAUUACACGUACCAAGGUAAAACUAAUGACUACUUUGCAAGCCUACUUUUUUCGUUAAGCGUGAUCAUUAAUACGCCGCAUACAUGCAGGGAAGGAAUGAGAAGAAAGUAGCUAAUUUUCAUUAUGACUAUAUACAUGCAAGCAUUAAACAAGUUAUUAAUACAAGAAAAUAAUAUUAAAAUUUUCCUUGAUUAGUGUUUAUGGCCUUACAUAGAUGCAAAAUAUAUUUUUUAUAGUGGCCUUGUAUAAGGAAAUGCAGGGAAUACAUAAGCAAGAGCAAUAAACUAGUUAGCAAGCAAACAUAAUAAAAAAAUGGAAAUAGAUUAAUCAGACAGGUCGGUGUCGUGGAUGUAUCCCGAAGUUCUCUCUUUUGGCAAUGCUAAUAUUCAUUGGAGUUGUGUUAAACCCAAAGCUCCCAAAUGUCACCAAAUGGCUCAUCCAAGUCUCCACUUGAGUUACCAAUGGAGCUACAAACACUCGUAGUUGGUCAUCAAGGUGACCUAUACAAACUUUUUCAGAGUAGACUACACACAUCGGAAGCUUCUGCGCCUCACGAUGACUUGAGAAUUCAUGAAGAAUUUCGACUUGGUUUUCAUCGUGCUUUUUCUACUUCUCAAUAAUUUAUAAUAUUACUUCUUCAAGCGAGAAGAAAACUCAUUUUUCCAUUGUUUGGCAGGAAAAUACAUUUAUAGAAGGAAACCAAUCAAGAUCAUACAAACUCAAUCCAUUUUAAGCAACUUCCAUGUUGGAAGAUUUUACACCAGCACCAAUAGAGAGAAAUACGGCCACUGGUACAAGCGCAAGCACUCGUACCAAGCGCCGGAGACCUCCCCUCAUCUAGAGGAACAAACUUCAUAAAGGGUCAUUCAACAUCAAAGAAACUUAGUUGUCGUCACUCCAUCGUGAACAAAGGGAGAACAGAGGAGACCGGGGCAAGAAAAAUAAUCGGAG
rnacentral:lncRNA from 1 species